AUGGGAAAAUAUUAUGAAGGAUGUUAUAUGUGAUGAAUCCAUAUUUAUUAGAUUAGACUUGUUACUAGUAUGAAGGAAUUGAAGUGAUUUCGAUACGCAUAAAAAAUCGUUUUGGUGGACAAAAACUGCUUCGUUUUAUGGGUGUUCCAUAUACGUCUGCCUUUGCGCUCAAAUGAGAUGUU